UCCUACAAAAAGACUCAAAUAUUUAAAGCUGAAGUUGUAAAAAGGAAACAAAGAAAAAGGUCUCAGGGCCAGCGUCCCAAAGCUCCUCUGUGAAUACACAUUUCACACAGGUAUUUUAAUGGUCCAUAUACCUGUGCCAGACACUCAUUCCCCCUGGGCUGAGGACACCCUUGCACUGGAAUCCUGCUGGUUGCACUUUAACCAACACAGGCUACAACAGAAAUUACAUCUUGAAAACUGAAAAAUGCAUUUCACAGUUCUUACAAUCCUUAUUUUCCUUAAGCUAGGUACAGGGGAUAUAUUCCCUUACUCCUGACAAAAAGAUCAGGGUAUUUUUUGUGAGCACGAGGCAGCUGAUCAUUUGUAGCAGGCAUGAAUUAUUGCAGUGUCUCCAUCCAAACAAGUGAACAUCUGUAUCCCAUUUUCACUGGCACCACGAGAUACCUGGCGCAGCCCCAAAAGGGAAUGUUUAGCUACAAGGGUUUAAAAUAUGCAUUAAUUUGCUGUUGUGUUAUCUUCUGGUAUUCUCAGCUUUGGAAAAAAAACCCAAAAAACUUUAUCAGUGAAGUCCUCCCACUGUCUAUUUGCCUUGCUCUGGCCCAGAGUGAAAUGAAUUAAGUAAAACAGUUUUGAAAGCCUCAUUAGUUUUCCCUCCUGAGGAGCAAUGCUUAUGGAAGCCAGUUGGAGCAGGACUCUGGGGAGGAUGGGACAUUUCAUGGCCCUCCCUCUGCUGCUGCUUCUCUGCAGAGGGGGACUCAGUUUAUUCAACCCUCCCAAGGACAGCAUCACUGGAGAGUGAUUUUCAACAAUCCAAGGGUGGGGGGUCUAUGGAAAGGAAGUCUGGAAGCUCUUUUAGUCCAGUGUUGCGUCCUUGGCUUUUGAAAAUAUGUUUUUGUUGAAAGCAAGGUGUGUUUUCCCAGCAGAUCAUUAUCUACAGCCACAACCAACUGGUGUGAAACUCCAGGGCAGGAAAGCUCCUUUCUGUGGCUUUCAGCUCAGCCACGACCUUACAUCCAGAAUCUGCUUGGGAUGAAAAAGCCUUCUGCUAAUGAAAUUAUGUUUUUCUUAGUUGCUUAAAUGUACCUGGUCCCACCUCUCUGCGAUCCCACCUCAGACAGAAGCUCUUUUGGGGUGAUCUCUAUUUCACCAUGACUGCCACUGGAGGCAAGGGGAGUGGGGAUCACUCCAGCAGGGUCCUCACCUGCUGGCUCCAGUCUGUCCAGCUCAGAAACCAUCCUUCACCUUCCACCCUACCCCAAGCUUCAAAGAAAUCACAGAUACCUCCUUUAAAUCCUUUCUUAGCACUCCCUAUUUCUGAUUAUUUCUGUUUAAAAGGGGGAAAAACACAGCCUCAGCACUAGUAUGUGCUGUGACUGCUGCCUGUGCAACAUUCCUCACAUUUUAUCUCAUAUUCCUUGGCUGUGUACUCCCAUUUGUAGCUUUCCAUCAUGGCUAUGGGGAUGCCCAUUUUCUUUGCCUUUGUACAACACUGAACAGCAGGGCUUUACUCCAAGCUGCUGGAGCUCUUAGGUGGUUACUACCAGUUGUACCACUACUGCUGUGGUCAGUCAGUGGCUGCACUACUGGGAUGCCUCAGCUUCUGUUCUAGGCCAGCCUUCACAAGGCAUCAGUGACUGCCUUUCUGCAGCCACCGAGUGCUCAGUCACCACGCUGUUUGCUAGAGGGACUCCUGAAAUGGAAGCCACUGUCACCUCAGUACUCAGUGACACUUUCAUUAACACCUUCUCGAAUGUGACUCCUCUCCAGUUUAACUCCCUGGGACAGAUCUAGUGCUGAUCCCACUGCAGUCAAUGACAAACUCUCCAUUGGUUUCAAUGAAGGACAUGGUCUCUUAAAAGCAAUUUUUCAUCAAUACCUAAAGUACUUCCUAGACUCUCAUACUUGAGGGUGAGUCCCUGCUCCUCACUCAUCAGCACCUCUCCCCAGCACAGCUGCAAUUUGCAGAGUCCCUCCAUGUCCCACUGCAGGCCCCAGCAUCCCAGAAUAGUUCAGACUGCAGCCAGUGCAAGUCCCAGCUCUGCUCUGAGCACAUCUUCACCAGCACAGAGAAACAGAGCCAAACAGCUGGCAGGGCCUGGUUGGUGGUGUUGAUUGGGGGAAAUUCUACCUUGAAGCAAAACAAAUUCAAUUGUGUCUAAGAGGAAACAAGAACAAAAGAGAAAAAACAACAUGAGAAGAUGUCUGGAGACAUCGUGCUCGUACAGAAAUGUCUGCUGGCAGGUCAAAAAGUGUCCCAUCAGCCCAGCGUGGGACUGGAGCUUGUAUCCCACAGGCAAUUAUCCCCUGCCUGCAGACACUCUCAGGCCAUCCCUGGGAUUUGGAGGAGAAAUCUUAUCUGCUGGCCUGUGAGAAAGCAGAAGGAGGCACACGUUGUACUCACACACCAGUAAAACAAGCAGGGAGUUAAACUGGAAAACACUGCACAGCCCAGCCUGGAGACAGCAGAACAGGAGACUAAACACAACAGUUUAACAAAUAAUUACAGGUUCUUUAUACAGCCUAGAAUUUGUAAUCCACCUUCAUCCACUUCUCUUUGCACAGUUUAGAAUCACAAUGCCAAAGGGAUCACAGGGAAUCAUGAAAUAAUGUCCUGCAUUUGAGUGCAGAGCAGACAGUCUCGGAUGGUUUUAGAUACUCUUUUCAUGAAACAUUUACCAUGUGGCACCCAAGUGUUCCCUCCAUUGUACCUUGGCAAACACAGUGGACACGCUGGUACAGGCACUCACACAGACAGGAUGUUUGCAGACAUUAAAAGUGAUGAGGGAAAAAAACCAACCCAAAACCCUGACCUGGAUAAGUUCUCCUCGAUUUAAAUUCAGGAAAGUGUGGGCAUUGAAUAUUAUCUCCAUAGUAAAUUUGCCACACCAUAAAACAGAGUGGGGAAUCAAGAAGGAAUAUCUUGCAUUUCAACAAACGCUGGGUCUCUGAGGACCCCCUCCAUCCCUUGGUAUGUAGGAGUACAAUUUAUCAUCUGUAUUUUUCAUCUUAACUGCAUGAAGAAGAGGGUAUUAUGGCAGUGGUGCUGGACUGAUGUUUGGGGGACUGUGAAUCCAUUACCUGCAACAGA